CGGCGUGCUUACACAUGCAGUCAAGGGGCCGCAAGGGCAACCGGCGAACGGGUGCGUAACACGUGAGCAACCUGCCUUUGAGCGGGGGAUAGCCGGCCCAACGGCCGGGUAAUACCGCAUACGUUCUUCUGGUGGCAUCACCGGGGGAAGAAACGCUUGACGGCUCAAAGAGGGGCUCGCGGCCUAUCAGCUAGUUGGUGCGGUCACGGCGCACCAAGGCGACGACGGGUAGCUGGUCUGAGAGGAUGGCCAGCCACAUUGGGACUGAGAAACGGCCCAGACUCCUACGGGAGGCAGCAGUGGGGAAUCUUGCGCAAUGGCCGAGAGGCUGACGCAGCGACGCCGCGUGGGGGAUGAAGCAUUUCGGUGUGUAAACCCCUGUUGCUCGGGACGAACGAUCCUUUUCGAGGGAUGUGACGGUACCGAGUGAGGAAGCACCGGCUAACUCCGUGCCAGCAGCCGCGGUAAUACGGAGGGUGCGAGCGUUGUCCGGAAUCACUGGGCGUAAAGGGCGCGUAGGUGGUUGGAUGCGCCGGUGGUGAAAGCGCAGGGCUCAACCCUGCGUCGGCCAUCGGGACGGUCCGACUGGAGCACUGUAGAGGCAGGUGGAAUUCCGGGUGUAGCGGUGGAAUGCGUAGAG
rnacentral:rRNA from 1 species